AAGUCGUAACAAGGUCUCCGUUGGUGAACCAGCGGAGGGAUCAUUACAAAACGAGUGCUCCGGCUCUCCAACCCAUUGUGAACAUACCUAUCGUUCCCUCGGCGGGCUCAGCGCGCGGCCGGCCUCCGGGCCUCCGGGCGUCCGCCGGGGAAAACCAAACCCGAAUUUUUCGUGUAUAUCUGAGGGGCGAAAGCCCGAAAACAAAAUGAAUCAAAACUUUCAACAACGGAUCUCUUGGCUCUG
rnacentral:misc_RNA from 1 species